CACACCCUCCCCCCUUUUUUUUUCUUUCUUCUUUUCUUUCUCUUCUCUUCUUCUUUUCUCUUUUCUUUUCCUCCAUUCUUCUUCCGUUUCUCCUUCUUCCUUCAGCCCAGCAACCACCCACCCCAAAUCUCUUCUUCUUUUCUCUUUUCUUCCUCUUCUGUUCGACGCCGACCAUCAGACGAAGCCGAACACCGCCGCUCGUGUCCAGAUCUGCGAAGCCUUCUUUUUCGUUCACCGAAGCCGAAGCCUAACCGUCGUCCUUCUUUCCUUUUCGCUCGUCCGCCACCCACCGUCACCGCCCAACUCUCCUCGUCCCGCUAUCGCCGCUGCACUCGUCUAAAGUCGUCGUGCGUCCAGAUUGCGAAGCCGCCGCGCGGCUCAUCCGCGUCGUUCCUUCCAGAUUCGCAACCGCCCGAGCCACCUCGUCAACUAUCUGCACCGUCGCGUCUGUUCGUCGGCCGACAGUAAGACAACAUCGUACUUCUUCUUACAGCCGCAAUUCAUAAAUUGACGUACACUCUCAUCUGUUUGUACCUUUGUCAUUUAGGUUCGAUCGUCACUGCUGCUGUUUUGUUUUGUUGUGAGUUCUCUGAUAAGUAAAAUUGAUAGUUUAUGCGUGAUGGAUUGUUAAGAUGAAAUAUCAAAUUAAACAUUUGGUUAACGUUGUUCUUGUGUUGUAAGUGACAUUGGUGAUGAAUUGUUAAGAUGAAAUAUCAAAUUAAACAUUUGGUUAACAUUGUUCUUGUGUUGGAAGUGACAUUGGGUCUCUCGUGUUCAUAACCAAAAUUGUGAAUUUUGGAGUUCGGCUCGCUAAUACUUGGUAUCUUUCGUUGGAUAUAGUUUGUUCGAGAAAUUGAGCAACCUUGAGGUAAGGGAUUUUCUACUGGACUCAAUAACAAAAAUUAAGAUGUAUUGACUGUAUGGAUCGUAAUAUUAUAUCUGAAUGAGUAGGGAUGACGGUUAUGAUGUAUGUUUGGAUGUGUUCUUAAUGUUUAAUGUUUACUGGGAGAAAUUUAUAUAUAUGUGCAUAGAUUGAUGUGGACUUGUGGUUGAGUGUAUGUUGUGACUGUCUGAUUAUGUAUAUUUACAAACCUAAGGAUGUGGAAACGACUGAAUCUCGUAGAUGUUGCUUAUAUAAAGUGUGGAUUUUAAUUCGUAGAUUGAUUGUUAUUUAGACUGAAUGUAUGAUCUAUUGUUAUGGUUGUGUGCUUGUGAACGGAAGAGACGUCAUGGUUGUGCCCUUGUAGACUGAGGAGGAGGUUAUGAUUAUUUAGUUUGUAGACUGAUGUAUUGAUAUGUUUUUGACUGACCUUGGGCCAAACUAGAAUAAGACGACUGUUUGGGGUUAAAUGAGGAGUUUAUGUGAUGAGACUGUUUAACUGAACCGACUGUUAAGAUGUUUAGAAUGGACUGAGGGAAAAAUUAUUAGUUUUCCUAUUGGGUAGUUACCUUCUCGGUGUCCUACGGGAUCACCACCCUUUUGUGCAUCCUUUGGGAGCACUCGACUGAUAUGUGCAUCCUUCGGGAGCACUCGACUGAUAUGUGCAUCCUUCGGGAGCACUAGACUGAUAUGUGUUUCUGCAGAACACUAGACUGAUAUGUACGUCCCUCGGGGCGUUAGACUGAUUAUGUGUAUUCUACGGGAUCACAAGACUCUGACUGUACAUGGUAUACCCAAUAGAAAGUUAGGGACCAGUAGUGGGUCUCUUACUGAGUAUAUUUAUACUCUCCCUUUUAUGUUUAACUUUUUCAGGCAAAGGUUGAGGGUGGCAAACCGACGAGGGGCAGGAAGGAAGCGUGAUUGCCACAGGGAAUAUGUUAUUGUUGCUUCCGCUUUAUGUUUUUGAUGUUUAAAACAUUGUGAUGGAACUGAGCUUACAAACUAUUAUUUUAGUAAAAAGUACUUUUAAAGUUUUAGAACAUUUGAAA